AGAAAAGCAAGGACGGAGAGAAAUCCGUUAGUGGCGGCAGAGCAGAGUCAGAUCAGUGCGCUCCUGCUGGUGAGAGGCUGCAAGUCCAGGGCGGUGCACCCUGUGUCCCCAGGACCCAUCUCGCAGGCCCGCAGGCCACAAUGGUUUCCUGUGCGUGUCACCGUUGGUGAGGCCGUCCACUGGAAUACUAAUGGGAAGGCUAAGAAAAGUCGGCGUGCCUUGUGAGGGAUGGGUUAGAAAGGGAAACUGGGACCACCUAAGCGGGAAGUAACGUGCUUGAAGCCUACCAGCCUGGCUCUCAAAAUCAUGAAGGUCAUAGGAGGAAGAAGAGCAUAAUCUCAGAAUAAAAGGGACAGGCCUUUCAAAGGAAUCAAUUUAGCAAGCUGAAAAACUCAUGAUGUUUUCCUGCAGUUUGCAGAAGACAGGUGACUGUCAGCGUCCAUCCCAGUGUUUGGGAGCCUCUGUCUACGUCCUCUCACCAGAUCUGCAGCCCUGUCCCUGUGGGUCCUGACAGGGCUCCUGUAGCUUUACUCACCUCUGGAGCAAGGAACAAGGUCACCUGGACUUGAUCUUUCCCCUAGAUGGAAGGCCCCCAAAUGAAGUGCAUCCACCGAAAACAGAAGUAAACAUGGGGUCGGAUAAACCUGGG